AGAAAGAGUGCACAACAUGACUAUGAGCGACACUGCUAGUUCGGUACCAUAUUUAACAUUUGUUGUUCUUAUUAUUUUUUUUAAAAAGCCUGUCUCCAGCCUCAGGGUUCCUCAGCAAGAAUCAUAAUGUUAUUUACUUACUAUGCAUUUAUUUUUUUAAAUGUUCUCUGGGUGUCAUGCUGGAAUAUGGAGAGUUCUGUUCACAUGCUUCUCAUGCGCUGGAAUGCCUUAAUGAAGAAUGCUGCAAAUUUCUUUUUUUAGGAGCCAUGACUAAUUUUAGGUUCAAAUACUAGGUUUUCUAACACAAAUCCUCCACACGAGGGUUGGAUAAUGACGCAAAGUCUCAAAAGGGGAAGAAAAGUUUGCCUGAAAGGCUUCUGCUGAAUCCCAUAAGGUGGGAAUGUGUUGUUUUAGAGUCCUGUUGCCAUGUUCCUUCAGAGACUGAGAUUACAAUGUUGGAUAAAAUAAUCAUUUUUUAUUAGCUCUGUGUGUGUCGUUGAGGGUGUACAAGCUUUCCAGUUUCUUCCUUUGUCAAAUUCGCUUCCCAUCAUAUCUGCCUUGAUUUGAACUGUAUCAAAAUUUAAAUGUGGGAACUGUGUAUUACCAGGUUCUUGUUUUUAUGGCCAUGGCUAGGUUCUGUAGAAUUACGUCAAACCGCUGUUUAUGCAAAUAGCUAGGAAGAAACAUGGUCAGAGGGAAAAGUAUGAAACUGAAGUGGCAAUCCCUAAUGACAGUGCUAACAGUUUCAGAGUAAUUGGGUCACCGGGCAACAGAGCUCAUUUGGGAUAUGGAGGCCUAAUUGUCUGAAUCUUGCCUGAGGAAAUCUUAACUGUUCUUUUGUGACAUAAUUUUCCUGAUCUCUCUCUCUCCCUCUCUCUCUCUCUCUCUCUCACCCCCCCCCCCACCCACAGACUCUCUCUCUUUGCAGUUUGAGCACAAAGUUCUUCAAUAUUUCUGUUCUGAAUACUGGUAGCAAAAGCUGUCGGCUAAUACUCUCCAUUUUUUCACAUAUUCCUCCCCUCAUCUCCAGUUCUGAAAAUUCUGAAGUCUCAAAUGCAAACCAGGGAACAAUCCCUGUGGUGAAGAGAGAACUCUGCCUUCCUAGUCACCCUGUGUGCUCAGUAGGUUGUGGACCUCAGGAAAUGGAGUGUGGCUGCUUUCAAGAACAGCAUGAAAAUGUUGACAGUAAAAGCAGAAAGAUGAAAAUGACACAGCCCACCUUCCAUUUUCCUCUGCUUCUGAAAGCUGGCAAAGUGUCCCCCCACCCCAUGUCAAGAAGACCAAGGCUGGUGAUGCAUCCCAGUGAUGCAAGGAACUGUGACUGACCGUGCUUUCCUAAUGGCUCUAUUAACACUUACUGCCUCAGCUUUAUCUGAAAAGUGCCCUGUGAAGCGUUGCAUGAACAGAGGCAGAAAGCACUUCAUGGGGAAGUGUAAUCCAUUUAUGAAAAUACAUAUCCUUCUAGGAGGAGGCAAAUGGAAGGUACAUCAGUAGUUCAAGUGUAACCAAGGAAAGGCCUUGUAUAUUUUUUUAAUACUGGAGUUAUCUGAAAAUUCUUUGCAGAUUUAAGAAAAGCCCAAACGUUUUCUAACGUGAGCAGAAGUACUGUAGCUUGUGUAAAUGAACACAGUUUAACAGCGCAAUGCCUUCCUGAAGUAAGUUUCAUUGUGCCUACUGACCAGGGAAAGCUCAGUCGGUAGAGCAUGAGACUCUUCAUCUCAGGGUUGUGGUUCGAGCCCUACAUUGGGCAAAAGAUUCCUGCAUUACAAAGGGUUGGACUAGAUGACCCUUGUCCCUUCCAACUCUACAAUUCUAUGAUGCUAUGAUUCUAUACCGGCCCAUCUUCCUGGUAUGUGCAUUUGGGAUCAUAGUCUUAUUUUGCAAUACCAAACAUACUUAAAGAGUAACCCUGUUUAUGCUUACAGUGGUACCUCUGGUUGCAAUCAGGAUCCGUUCCAGAGCCCCAUUCUCAGCCUGAGUAGAACGCAACCCGAGUCUGCAUGUGCGUGGGUCACAAUUCGCCAUUUCUGCGCAUGCGCGUGAUGUCAUUUUGAGCGUUUGCACAUGCGGGAGCAGUGAAACCUGGAAGUAACCCUUUCCGGUACUUCCGGGUCGGCAUGGGACGCAACCUGAAAAGAUUUAACCCGAAGCGUCUUUAACCCGAGGUAUGACUGUAUUCAGAAGCAAGUCCCAGUGAGUUCAGUGGAUGUGCACAGGAUUGCAGAGAGCAGCCUUCAAUUCCCUGCAUUGUUUAACACAGGAGUUACCAAACUGUGGUCCAUGGAGCAUCAAUGGCGUGUGAGAUUCAUUCAGGUGCUCUGCCAUGUGCCUACGGAUUUGUGAUUGAAGAGCGGUAGACAGCAUUUCAAUUGCAUUAAAUAGCCAGAUAGAUAUUUAAUUGUGUUUUUAUUGCUUUUCUUUCUUAUAUUGAUUUUUAUUGUAUUACACUUUGAAUUCUGUGGAAUUCAAAUUGUAAUAUAACAAAAUACAAUAUAUAAUAAAUAAAAGAAGCAAUAAAAAUACAACUAAAACCCAUGCCGCAUCUAGAGUAGCACAUUACAAUUGCUACAUUAUUAGUCUGCCAGGAUCUUCAGCAAUUUUGAAUAGUUCUGUGGUGGAAGGGGGGCUGGGCUUGGGAAGCACUGGUUUAAUAAAUGUUGUAAGCUACUUUUUGAACUCUGUAAGGAUGUUAGGCAGAAACUUAAUAAAUAAUCAAAUUAUUUUCCUCUUUUUACGACUAUCAAAGGCAGAAUAUAUUAGGUGGAAUACUCAAGUAGACGCAGGUGGGAAUGUAUGUAAGAAUUUGGGUUAAUUCUGCACCAUUUUAAAGUACACAUAAGUGCAAAUAUACACAGUCCUUCCUGAAGUAGCUGCUGCCUUUUAGUUUUCAUUGUUUUAUGAUGGUUUAUGUUUUGCUUUUAUUGUAUUUUAUGAUUGCUAUUAUUGCUGUAUGUUACCCUGGGAUCUGUUCCGAUGACGGAUGGUUUAGAAAAAUUUAAAAUUACACCAGUGAUAACACUAAAAACACAUCCACCCCCGUAAAAGCUCCAAGAUCCAAUAAAUAAAUAUAACUAAAACCAUUUCAUAAAUUCAGUAACUCAAUAAAAACCUGUUUAAGAGAAUCAACAGUGAACAACUCUUUUUACAGUCUGCGGAGAUGGGGCCAUGAUGUACCCACAUUUGCAAAACAAUCCACAAAUGGGAGGCACCUUCUGGGGGGUGGGGAACACUCUUGCUUCUGCCUUAAGGCUUCUGCAAACUUAAGGCUUGUACACACCUUAACAAUGAGCACAGCUACAACCUGUCUCUACACAUGUAUAAGUGUUUGCAUGAAAAUCUGUACACUUGUUGAUCCGUGAAGCUCAAUUACUUGCGAGCAUAGGAGCACAGGUUGUGCACUCAUUGAAUGUAACUUGUGAACACCCCUUCUGUUGUUCUCAGAGGCACAAAACUGUGAACAAGGCUUGUACGGAUGGUCUCAAAGUGCAGCCCACAGCUUUAUGGGCUUUUCAAGGGAGGUGGUUCAAAGUUGAUUUAAGUAGCUUUGAAAGGGAGGGGAGGUUUAAAAGUCUACCCGACAGCUCCCAAAGUCUUUUACUGAUAAAAGUUGGCAGAUAUUUUCAUAGGUUGAGCCUUUUUAUCAGGGUAAUUUGAUCAUUAGAGCUCCUACUCAUGCAGCAGAGACUCAGUUGAGACUUGACCCGGCGCCAUCUUCUCUGCUACUCGGAUGGUCUCAAAGUGCAGGCGGGCGAAGAACCUCCGUGCCAAACUACUUCGUCUUCUUCCUUUUCUUCUUCCAUGUGGAUGUCUGCAUGGAAGGGCUCCUUGCUUUGGACAGUUGCCCCCAGUAGGAUAAACCAUCAUGCUUGCCCUCGGUGCCUCUUUCAAGUGUUUACAACUCCUGAAAAGGGCUUGAGAGAAAAUUGGAUGUUUUUCAGUUGUAAUGGGGGCAUAUAGCCACAUUUGCCCUCAUAGCCCUUAUUUCACAGUGGGUCCUCUUGUCUCUCUUCCCAAUCCCUGCUAAUAGAAAUGGUGUAUAUCUGUUCAGUUUGCAGCAUUGAUAACCAAGAGUAGAGCAGAGUAGCUCACCCAGCCUUGGUUGAACACCCCUUUCAGCAGAGGCAUUGUUGAGGAGUUCCUUCCUUCAAAACCAUAGCAAUAUGCCAAGUCUUUGGGUUCUGCUUGUGAAUAGUAGCAGCUGCCAUUUUGGCAUAUACCUUUCCAGAUUGGUGGGCACCUCUGUUUCACUUCCCAGUUUGCACUAUGGGAGCUCAUUCAUCAGUAUGCUUAACCUCCACACACAAACAAAACAGAUUAUUUAGUGGUUGCUCUCUCAUAAUUGCUUUCCUUUUGAACACAACCUUUCCCAUGCAAGUCACAAAAGGACGUAAUGGAACAUAAUAGGUGUCGUUCUCUGUCUGAAAAUGCAGCAGGAAGUGGUUUAAUUUAGCCGAUGUCGUUUCUUUGAAGUGUAAUGGCAGGUUCAAAGAGUUGCAGCAAAGGAAGUUUAAGGCAGCAUAUGUUUUGAAACUCCGGCUUCAAAUAUCCAUAAUUAAUACCACAUUAAAAAAAGAGGCUUGUGGCUAAAACUUCCUUCUGGAGUCUCUGAAAGAACAGAUAAUGAAGUUCAAAGCCUGACUUUAAUUUAUAUUUUUUAACUACUAGAAUGCCUCUCCAGUCCCCAUGGAUUCUCUGAGUUUAUAUUUAUGCUUAUAAUGGGUUUCACCUGCUACUUCCAUUUCCUGAUUUAUUAUAUGUUUUAUCUCAAGAUGAUAAAACAGAUGAGCUGUUCCCAUCUUUGCUAUGUUCUUGUCAUCCGAUUCAGAAUGAGGAGUCUGAAUAAAGUCCUCCUGGAGAUACUCUCUUAGAAGAAUCCUAUUAUAUGGAAGCCUCUUUAGCAUCUGGAGUAGAUCAGUUUUCACAUUUAGAAGGCUGGAGAAACUGCACUCAUUAGCAGGAAAUCAAAUUACGGUUACUUAGAAACUGCUGCUUGACAGGUGUAAAGAGAUUUUGCACUUACCAAAAUGUUAGAGACUUCAGAACUUCAGUCAACAUGAUUCAAAGAGCCCAAACUAGUUCUGAUUCAGCAAUAAACAGGAUAAUUUAUGGAUUUUCUUUUCCAUAUAGAUCAAAUAUGAAAUGCACUUAACCUUUGCAUCAUCUUUCUUGUCUGCUGAAUUUCAGAGCUUCUUUCAUGACAAGAUUCUUUGCAAAACUAAUGCAAGCAGGCAUGCCUUCAGCUUAAAUCAGAAAUCCCAAUGCUGCAAAAUGCCAGUUGUGAAUUCAUUCCUGACUUACAGUGUUUGGUACAGAAAGCCACACAUCUCAGUUCCCUCUCUCUCCCUUCCUCUUCUUCUCUCCUGUGGUCCUGUCACUUGCUGACUCACCACCAAGCUGUGCCAUCCUCCUUUCUUCUGCCCUCUGCUCCCCGCCAUAGUCACUCAAGUCUCCUCCCACCUUGCCGGACCUCCACACUGCCCUGCUUUCUCCUCCACAUUGCCCCCAGUCAGUCUGUUCUCCUACCACCCAUCUCUCCACAUUCCUUUCGCCUACAACAAUUAGUGGCUGGCAGUUCUUUCUUUCUUUACAUUUUUACGGGAUGUCUGGGUCCACUGUAAAGCAAAGACCACCAAGGCUCCAGCUGUCUACCGUCUUCAUCUUACACCAGUGCCUCUGGGCCCAGAUGGAAUUGCUACUAGCAGAUUUGGUGUAGCAUUGUGGGUAUUUUGCUAGUACUUUUCAAGUACUCAAAAUGGUUCAUGUACAUUUUCUCAGCAAUCCUGUCAAAAGCCCUCAACGGGUAAGAUUUGACCUUGUGGCUUACACAUAUUUACACCGAAAGCAUGGCCUGGCAUCUUCCUUUCAAUACU